rnacentral:lncRNA from 1 species
CCUGUCUCCAUCCCCUUGCCCCUCUUUGACCACCCCUUCCACGGGCUUUAUGUGCUCCAUCCCAUCCUCGCUCUCAGCCUGUGUAGGUGGCAAUCCCUGAGCAUAAUAAGCAACCUUACUUUCCUAAAUCUUUUCUUAAUUCAAAACAACCUGCAUUUUCCUUUUCUAUAACCUUGGUAAGAAAAUCUGAGCUAUCCAAAUUGGCCCAGUCUGAAAUCAAUUGUUUCACAAGCAAAGAAUACUGUGGCAACAUAUUACCAAGGUAUGACUGUAUUUUAAAGAUAUCUAUAUCAUCUCCAGACAUCAAACCUGCCUCAUCCUUCCAACACUUGUAAAAUUUCUUUACAAAAAUCAUAUUACCAAUCUCUUCCUUUGCAUCCUGCUUAUAUGCCAAAGCAGUGAAUAUAGACUGCCUAUUCUUCCAUAAUCCCAACAUUUCAGCUUCCACCUUGUUCCAAAUUUUAGCACAUCUUACUGAAGUACUAAGCUCAUAAUCACCAAUUCAUUUCAAACCAUAUAACUCAUACUCAGCAUCCCAUGUAAUAUUACACGUCAUCUCACAAAGCAAUAUCUUUGUAGAAACACAUAAUGGGUACCCAGCAGAUAUGCCAAUACAGAAAUCACAUUUAUGGGCACACAACUACACACUCUGUCUCCCUCCUAGGAAACACGGAUAGACACAAUAUAAAAGCAAUCUUAAACUAACACCUCCAAAUCUCCAACUAUUCUUGGCCAAAACGCUAGUAUUCAACAACUAAUAAAACAGUUAUUUGCUAGGUUAUUUGGCUGUCAU